GACGAACGCUGGCGGCGUGCUUAACACAUGCAAGUCGAACGAAGAGCGAUGGAAGCUUGCUUCUAUCAAUCUUAGUGGCGAACGGGUGAGUAACGCGUAAUCAACCUGCCCUUCAGAGGGGGACAACAGUUGGAAACGACUGCUAAUACCGCAUACGAUCUAAUCUCGGCAUCGAGGAUAGAUGAAAGGUGGCCUCUACAUGUAAGCUAUCACUGAAGGAGGGGAUUGCGUCUGAUUAGCUAGUUGGAGGGGUAACGGCCCACCAAGGCGAUGAUCAGUAGCCGGUCUGAGAGGAUGAACGGCCACAUUGGGACUGAGACACGGCCCAGACUCCUACGGGAGGCAGCAGUGGGGAAUCUUCCGCAAUGGACGAAAGUCUGACGAAGCAACGCCGCGUGAGUGAUGACGGCCUUCGGGUUGUAAAGCUCUGUUAAUCGGGACGAAAGGCCUUCUUGCGAAUAGUGAGAAGGGUUGACGGUACCGGAAUAGAAAGCCACGGCUAACUACGUG
rnacentral:rRNA from 1 species